GUAGGUGGUUUGUUGCNUCGUCUGUGAAAUUCCGGGGCUUAACUUCAGGGUGGCAGGCGAUACGGGCAUAACUAGAGUGCUGUAGGGGAGACUGGAAUUCCUGGUGUAGCGGUGGAAUGCGCAGAUAUCAGGAGGAACACCGAUGGCGAAGGCAGGUCUCUGGGCAGUAACUGACGCUGAGGAGCGAAAGCAUGGGGAGCGAACAGGAUUAGAUACCCUGGUAGUCCAUGCUGUAAACGGUGGGCGUUAGGUGUGGGGACCGGUUUGGUUUCUGUGCCGUAGCUAACGCAUUAAGCGCCCCGCCUGGGGAGUACGGCCGCAAGGCUAAAACUCAAAGGAAUUGACGGGGGCCCGCACAAGCGGCGGAGCAUGUGGAUUAAUUCGAUGCAACGCGAAGAACCUUACCUGGGUUUGACAUGCACCAGACGGUUGUAGAGAUACGUACCUCCCUUUGUGGUUGGUGUGCAGGUGGUGCAUGGUUGUCGUCAGCUCGUGUCGUGAGAUGUUGGGUUAAGUCCCGCAACGAGCGCAACCCUUGUCUUAUGUUGCCAGCACUUUGGGUGGGGACUCAUGAGAGACUGCCGGGGUUAACUCGGAGGAAGGUGGGGAUGACGUCAAAUCAUCAUGCCCUUUAUGCCCAGGGCUUCACACAUGCUACAAUGGUU
rnacentral:rRNA from 1 species